AAGAAGUGAGACCUGACGUGCGCACUCACACACGCACUCACAUGAAAAGGGGGCAUGUCGCACCUGCGGCCAAGGGGAAAGGGUACACUUAUGUGCGCUUGCGCGCUCGCCCGAGAUUGGACGCCCAG
rnacentral:misc_RNA from 1 species